CUUUAUAUAGUCUAGCUGUUCUGCCUUCUCAUUGGUUGUAAACCCAGACACGUGACUGCCUCGUCACUGCCUGUAUGUACAGUCCUUCAGGUCCUCUAUGGUAUUGAGAUUAAAGGCGUGCGCCACCACCGCCACGCAAUUGCUAUGGCUCUAAUAGCUCUGACCCCUGGGCAACUUUAUUUAUUAGCAUAUGAUUAAAAUCACAUUUCAGUACAAGUAAAAUACCACCACAUAUUUGUUCUUUGUAAUAUCCUAGUUUUCCUGUAUUUUUUUAGGAAUUUUUUUUUUUAAAUUUUCUUUGACCAAUUUAUCCAUUUCUUCUAUGUUAACUUCAAUGCCUGAGAUUCUUCCAUCUCUUCUAUUCUGUUGGUAAAAUUGCCUGUAUAGUUCCUGUUUGUAUUCCUAAACUUUUCCAAAAUUCCCUUAGUUUGUAUUUUCUUUAUUGCUUCCAUUUCCAUUUUCAGGUUUUCAACAGGUUUUAUUCAUUUCCUUCAACUUUUUUUUUCCUUUUUCUUGAUUUAUUUAAAGGAUUUAUUCAUUUCCUCCAAUUCUUGUGUUUUCUUCACUUUCUUUAAGAGAUUUAUUUAUUUCAUCUUUAAGGACCUCUAUCAUCUUCAUAUAGUUGGUGUUAAGGUCUUUUUCUUGUGCUUCAGCCUAUGUUGGAAUAUUCAGGGCCUGCUGUGCUAGGAUAGCUGGGUUCUGGUGGAAACAUAUUGCCCUGGCUGUUGUUGACUAUGUUCUUAUGCUAUCAUCUAGGCAUCUGGGUUUGGGAUGAUUAAAGGUCUAGGUCUUGAUUUUCUGCAUUUUUAUAAGUUGUGUGGGUGUUAUGUUCCUUGGUUUUUAUUUCCUUUUUGUAUUUUUCUGUCUCUUUCUCUCUCCUUCUCUUUGGUAACAAGAUCAUAGGUCAGUUCCUGAGGAGGCUUGGGUGGGAUUCUGAUUUAAUAAGAUAAAAGCAUGGGUCAUAAGAAGUCUACACUAUAUCUUACUCUAUAUGAGGUUCAUAAUUCUACCCUGGCAAUCCUCAGAAGAGUACUUCUUACAUCUGGGAAAGGAGUAAGUCCAUACUCAAGAGGUUUUAUAUACUUUGGCCUCAAACAUAGCUCAUUGGUAUUUGAGAUAUCACUAAAAAAAGAUUUUCUUUGCCUACAACAUUUUGUUAUUUUGUGUUAUGGUUAAUAUUCAUUUUGACUUGGUAAGAUCUGGAAUCAGUCAAAAGAGACUUCUCCAGGCACACCUGUGAGGGCUUAUCUAGAUCAUGUUAUUCUCUGGGGUGUGCUUAGAUAUGUUAGCUUAUAAAUUAAGUUCAUUGAGAUGAGAAGACUUGUCUCCCUUCCAGAAGUGAUAUCACCAUUCCAUUCCAUGGUCUUGGUACUGAAUUAUGCAAUAAGGACCAACAUUUAUCACUCUCUGCCUCCUGAUUGUGGAUACAGUGUGAUCAGAUUAAUAGCAUAUUAAUACUGUAUAUUGAUUAUAUACAGUAGGUUGAAGGAAUAGAAACUACCCUUGCUUGCUAUCUGGCUAGAGUCUAGACUGUUUGAGAGUUUACUGAGAUUCCUCUGUCUGUGUCUUGACUGUCAAUCCAAGAUUGAAGGUCUCGUGGAGAGCUGAUGAUCCUGUUACAGAUUUGAAACACCUGCAGAAAGGACCUGAGAGGACACUGCUUACAGUGGGCACCUGAAGGUGUGGUAGAGUCUAGAACCAUAGGCUAACCAAGGACAGCUUCAGGCAUGGAAGAGAAAUGACAUGGUAGGAAAUGUGUGUGUGCUAGGGAUGGUAAAGCCUGAAACAUGGAACUUCCCCAGUCCAUGAGAGCCCAAAUCAGAAUAUCAUUAAGAGUCUCAGAAUUUGCAAAAUGUGAUACAGGAAGCUGCUCAAAAAGGGAAGAACAGGAGCAUAGCUUUCUGUUUUGGUUUCCUUAAAUGUGAUUUAUUAUUUGCUGUGCUCCUGUUCUUCCAGUUUUGAAAACAGUGGGCUGUUAUUCAUUUUUUUCACAGAGUAUACAUUUAGGAGACUGUAGCCUUUUUAAAUGUUGGAAUUUUUAAAGACUAUGGGAUUUAAGAAGUUAAUUUUGUAGCUAGAGUUUUAUCCAGUCCUGCCUGGCCCAUGGUCUGGACAAAUCUCUCUCACCCACCAGUCCCGCAGCCACUUAGACCCAACCAAGUAAACACACAGAGACAUAUUGCUUACAAACUGUAUGGCCACAGUAGGCUUCUUGUUAUCUAGUUCUUAUAUCUUAAAUUAACCCAUUUCUAUUAGUCUAUAAGUUGCCAUGUGGCUCAUGGCUUACCAGUACCUUACAUCUCACUUUUCAUGGUGGUGGCUGGGUGGCUGCUAUCUCUCUGCCUCGGUCGUCCACUUCCCGGAAUUCUCUUCUCUGCUUGUCCCACCUAUACUUCCUGCCUGGCUACUGGCCAAUCAGCAUUUUAUUUAUACAGAAUGAUAUCCACGGCACUUAUGUUAUGAUUAACAUGAGACUUUGGGGACCAUGGAUGAAAACAUCUUUUUUGAUAGGGAUGUACCAUAAAAUUAUGAGUCAAAUGAAUAUUUUAUCCCCAAAGUUACUUUGACUCAGAUUAUUUUAUCUAUUUAAUAGAAAUGAAACUACUUCACUACCCUUUUUUCUGCUCAAAAUAAAAAGAACCCAGAUAUUAAUUCAUUGACAUCUACAAGACUUCUUACUGAAACACACUUUUAAUAGUGAUCUUCAACAUACAAGUUUGAGUCCUUUUCUGUGUCACUAAUGUAUAAUUCUUUAUUGCUCUCUAUUACAUCAUCAGCCCUGCAACCAUAUACAUAAAACCAAGAAAAACAGACUCAGCAGUUUGUCUUCAUAUAUUUUAGCAUACUUAUUCAUUCAUCCUUUACCAGGAAGAAUUUGGAAGCAAACUAUUUGAGAAGGGAUGGAGUGAAUAGAAAAAAUGGGAAAGUGGUGUUAUAUUUUUUAAAUAAACUGUAUAGAAAUAAAUUUUAAAUAGAAAGAGGGACUAGAGAGAUGGCUCAGCAAUUAAUAACUCUGAGUGUUUUUAACAGAGGACCCAGGUUCCAUUCCCAGAACCCACAUGGUAGCGAACCAUUUGCUGUAACUCCAGUCCCAGGCAUCUCCUACCUUCUUCUGGACUCUGUAGGUCCUGUGAACAUACACAUUCAGGCAAAAUACCCACAGAACUAAAAUUUAAAACCAAUUUAAAAAAGAAAAGAAAAAAGGAAAGAAUGGAAUUUUCUGUAGUGAUAUCACAGGCCUGAGACAGACAGCAUCCAAGGGUAAUUAAAAUGAACUCCUUGUCCUGCAUAGAAGAAGCUGUGAUCUUCUUCUGAGCCAUCUGCACAGAGGUAAAAGCAACCUUGUUCUGAGCUGAAAAUAGCUCAGCAGAGCUAUCAAACUAAGAGCAGUAGCCAUAGUGCUGAUAGGUAACUUUUCCUUGAUGUUUUCUGUGUUUGCAUUCUCUGUCCUUUGUUUUGUGAGAAUUGAUACAUCUAUCUAUUAGAUGAAACAUCAUGAUUGACAGGCAUCAUAGGCUCCAAAGCAAUCUAAUUUCAUUGUGCCAUUUCCUUGAUUUUCAGCUUAGACCUUGUGGUAUAAGAUGAACAUGCCAGAGAGAUUUCUUUCCAUCAUUUUUAUAACUUAUAUAUGUUCCUGCAUGACUUUGAGGCGAGAAUGUCCCUAAAUGUCACUCCUUUUAGAUUGUGAUCAUGUUCAGACAUGGAUUUGUUAACUGAGCAUGCCUAAGAAGUGGGAGAAUGCUACAUGAACAUGUCCAGACUCCCUAAGUAAAAUCCCCAUGCUUCCUCUGUUUUGGAAAAACAUUGGUUUGGAAAUAACUCCUAUGCUCUCCUUGCCUCCUGCAGGCAAGAAAUUUUUCUCAUUUCUUCCAUCUUGACUGUUGUGAUGGCUAUUCUUGGUAGUCAAAGUAACUACCUCUGAAAUUAACCAAUAUACAAAGAAAUGGGUAUACCUGGGAAGGAUUUUACUUAAUUAAAGGUUUUAAAAUGGGAAAAUCCUUCAUUAAUCUUGAACUUUUGAGGUAAUAAAAUCUACCUGUAAUCUUGUCAGACCUUCUGGUGGCAGACUACAUAUAUAAAAGAAAUUGAAGACGGAAGCUCUUUCUCUUUGAAUGAUUGCCUUGUCUGUGGCUGGGAAGGUUAUUUCUUUAUUAUCUUUAGAGCCUAGAUCUUAGGAAUUCUGGUAUAUACUGAAGACCAUCUGAGACAUCCAGCCUCAUGGAUUAAAGAACUAUUGAAUUCUUCAACUUUUCAUUGGUAAACAACCAAUGCUGGACUAGCUGGACUACACUCUGAGAUAUUCUAAUAAAUCCACUUACUAAAUACAUACAGAGAUUUAUUUUAUCAGUUCUAUUCAAGCAGAGAACCUUGAUUAAUACUGCUGUUUUUUCAGCUGCCCAUUGAGUAACACAUGCUAGCUAACUAUAGUGACCAUAAAAGCAUUUUUCCUUGUUCAGUCUCUAAGUAUUCAACUUAUUGUGAUUACUACACUUUUUAUUAUUAUUAUUAUUAAAUAAUUAUUAAAAUAAUUAUUAUUAUUAUUUUAUUAUUAUUAAAAUUUCAAGUGAUUGAAAUGCAUUUCAGAAGAAAACUCCUAAAGCAAUGGAGCCAUCAUCCAGCCUUCUGAUGGGAGAAAGACCUAUCAUCUUGUUUGUGAUCUAGUUCCUGCUUUUCUCUUCUGGUUGUCUGAAGUCCCUGGGACAACCAGAUAAAAAGUACCUUGAGUUCACCUGACCUCAGCAUGGAGCCACAGAGCAAACAUCUCCUUUUUUGUCCUAAAAUCUCUCUUAAUUGCUAAUAUUUUGGACACCCUUCUGUUGUUCAAAUGUUAAAUGUUCUUAUAAUAAAAAUCCCUGAGCCAGAUAUUGGGGUGAAAGCUGAAAGAUCAGAGAAGCAAAGUAAGCCACUGCCAUGUCUUUCUUGAGUCCUCACUCAAAAGGGUCUCAGUUGAACUGGCCCCAGCAAGAGCCCUGCACCACUUCUGACUGACAGACUGGAGGCCCUGGUUGGCUCCUGAAGACUGAGUGACAAGAGAAAGUCCCUUAGGGCUACCCUGUGCUUAAAGACAAUAGCACAGUGAUUCCUUGGCCCUGCCUCCCACUCCAGACCCAGACUUUUCCAAAUUUACACAGGUAAGCAUUUCAAUAGUACUUGCCUUGGCUCCAUGGAAGAUGGCUGACCCUGCUAUCUUCCUGCACUCCAUAGGCACUUUCCAUUCUUCCUCUUGCACAGCCCAUUACACAAUGUGGAAUAGAAUGAUUCCCCUCUCCCCCAGGUGGAGGGCUAUAAUGAUAAUAGUGUGUACCCUAAUAAAGCUUGCCUGAGUAUCAGAGGACAGAGCAAGCCACUAGAUUAGACACAGAUUAAAUUAGAGGUCAGGCAAUGGUGGUACACACUUUUAAUUCUAAAACUCAGGAGGCAGAGAUCCAUCUGGACAGCUGUGAGUUUCAGGUGGCAGUCAAUUGCUGAAACAGGCAGGGAUUUUCAAGGAAUUUAUCAUCAUUAUAAAGAAGGCCCUUGCUAUAGAAUGGAAGCAUUACAAGGUGCCCCAAUUUAUGGAAGGAGUAAGCAAAGUGAUUUCAAGUCCCAGGAAGCAACUUCAUACAAAAUCUGCUGCUCCUGUGGUCCAAGUAUGUUAAUGUCCAUCCCAAUUAAGAAAUCAAACUUUGCAGGAUCACCCUUCAUGGGCUAGUCCUGGAAACAAGAAAAUCAAAUUUUAAGGUCAAGAUUUUUACUCUGUGGUUGCAGUUCAGGAUUGUUGCAAGCAUCUGUGUUUGGCAGAGUCAGAAACCCAGUGAGAAGACUGUAAGAGUUCAUUGCAUGAUGCUUGGUGUUAUUGGUUUUUUUUUUUUUUUAACUCUUUACUCUUGGUGUCCUGCUACUCAGCUUUCAACACUCACACACACAGAGGCUUAUUCUUUCUUACAAAUGCCCAGCCUUAGUUUGGGUUGUUUCUAGCCAGAUUUUCUUAAAUUAUCCCAUCUACCUUAUGCCUCUGGGCUUUUAUCUUUCUCUAUUCUAUAUGCCUCUGGUCUUUUAUCUUUCUCUAUUCUGAUUAUACCUUUCUUUACUUCUUACUCCAUGGCUUGCUAUGUAGCUAGGUGGCUAGCCCCUGGUGUCCUCUCAUUUUCUUGCUCCUCCUUCCUUUUUUUUCUUUCCAGAUUUUUCUUCACAUUUAUUCUGUCUGCCAGCCCUGCCUUUCCUUUCUUGCAAAGCUAUUGCCCAUUCAAGUCUUUAUUAGAUCAAUCAGAUAUUUUAAACAGGCAAAGUAUCACAGUCUUACAGAGUUAAACAAGUGCAACACAACAGAAUGCAACACAUCUUUGCAUCGUUAAAACAAAUGUUCAACAUAAACAGAUAUAACACAUUUUAAAAUAAUAUUCCACAACAGCCUGGGUAGCAUUUUGAGACCACAAGAUGUUGAGAUAUCUAAGAUAUGAGACAUUUUACAUGGAGACUGAACUGCAUAUAGGGAGUGAAAGUAACCAAAAAGAGAGAUGUAUGAGAAGUUGCAGGAAUAGGGCCAUCUAAGCCCUUUGAAACUGAAGCCCUAUGUGUCUGAGACAGAGAUAAAGAAUUUGAUGUUUGUCCUGCUGUGCUUCAGUCUUGCCUUGGUCCAAUCUUCCCUCACUAUGUCUCCAUUUCUCUCAUUUGGAAUGGUAAUGGUAUUCCAAUAUCUAUUGUAUGUUGGAAAGAUGUAACUUGAUUUAUGAGUUUACAAGAUGGCACUGUCAAGAGAUGGUCUUGAGUAUCAGAAGAGACUUUGGACAUUUGAACAGCUCAGGGGCUGUUGCAGAUUAUGAGGAUCAUUGAAGUGACUAAAUGCAUUUUCUUUGUGGAUGACCAUGAGCCUAUAGUGACCUGUGUCAGAAUGAAUGAAAACCUCCCAGAUAGAAUGAUAUAUUUGAACAUGUGUAUCUCCUUGGUGACUUUCUUUAAAUUGCUUGUGAAACCUGUAGUAGGAGGGGCCUUUCUGGAUGAAAUUCCUCAUUGGGAAUAGGAUAGUCUCAACCCAUUUACUGUAGUUUGUAUCUACUGUGUUGUGGUUGAAACUAAUCAGCCAGCUUCCUUGUACUGUUAUGCCUUUACUACCAUUAUAGACUCUAUCUCUAAAUCACAUAAAAUACAGUAGAAGCAAUUACUAUUGCAGGCUAAGGCAGUUUGGUAGCCUGCUGUUUUUGUUUGUUUGUUUGUUUGUUUGUUUUUGAAGACAAGGUUUGUCUUUAUAGCCCUGGCUGUCGUGAAAGUAGCUCUGUGCACCAGGCUGGGCUUGUACUCAGAGAUCCCCCUGACUCUGGCUCCUAAAUCCUGGGAUUAAAGGUGGGCCAACAUUCUUGGCUUUUUUUGAUUUUAUAUUAUUGGGUGAUGGGCCUGUGGUGUAGGUUUUUGUACACAUCAAGCAUAUGCUGGUGUACUAAGCUUUACUCAUAUCUUGAAUUUAAAAAUUUGGCAGAGGUUAUCAUUCUACUUCCCAGGAUGGCAUGUAUUCACGACAUUAAUACUGCCUGAGCCUUCUGAGUCAUUGGAUUGUAGGUGCAUGACCUUCUUCCUGCCUGUUGUGUUUGUUUUGAAUUUUUUAAAUGAAUAUCAGUAUUUUACUUGUAUGCAUGGGUAUGCACCAUGUGGGUGAUCACCUCAUAGUGUUCAAAAGAUGGUCUCAGAAACCCUGAACUUGGAAUAAUGAAUAGUUCUGAUGCCCAUGUAAGUACUGGCAAUUGAGCCUACCUAUAUGCAAGACCAGCAAGAGCUCUUUACUACUGAGCCAUCUCUCCUGCCCUGUGUUGAUUAUAUAUGAUCAACAUUUAUAUCGUUUAUGUUUUCAUCUGUCCAUUUGUAACUGUUUAAAAAUGUAAAAUCUUUUAGUAAUAAUAUUUUAGUAAAUAAUCUUUUAGUAAAAUCUUAUUGAUGUUAUAGUAUAAAUUAGGGCACUUCAGGUUUCUGGAAGGUGAAUACAGAACUGGAAUGAAUGCAUAACUCUUUGUAGGCACUUCAGUAAAAACCUCUGAGUUCUUUCUAUCAUUUUUGUUAGUUUGACUGAUUUUUUUUUGAGACAGGGUUUCUCUGUGUAGCUUUGCGUCUUUCCAGGAACUCACUUUGUAGACCAGGAUGGCUUCGAACUCACAGAGAUCUGCCUGCUUCUGCCUCCCGAGUCCUGGGAUUAAAGGCAUGCACCACCACCACCUGGCAAGAUUGACUAAUUUUUUUACAUGGGAGACAGGGUGUCAAUAUGUACUUCUGGCUGUCCUGGACUUGAUUGCAUAGACUAGGUUGGCAUUCCACUCAGAGGCAGAUAUACUUGCCUCUUCCUUCUGAGUGCUGGGGUUAAAGGUGUGAGCCAGUUUAUCUAUCUUAUUUUUCUUCUCUGUAGUUAGUAACUGCUCAUACAAUUUCUCUCAUGUGUACUCUGUACUGUUGAUCUGUUUAUUUGUCUCUCUGUGUUUGUUAAUAGGCAUUUCUCUUGUAAGGUGAUAUUCCACUCAAACGGUACAGAAAUGACAGAGAUGACCCUCCUAUCAAGUUUUCUUCAAAAUGACUUAGUGGUUACAUUAUAAUGUAUAUGUCAUGGAAUAAGUGUGGGGAGCACAAGAAUUAUAUGACUAUGCUAUGUUGUCAGUAUCAUGCCUUCUGUUGUACACAUGUAUGGGAUGUUUUAGAAUGCAGUGACCUAUGAUGAUGUGCAUAUUGACUUCACUUGGGAAGAGUGGACUUUGCUGGAUCCUUCCCAGAAGAAUCUCUACAAAGAUGUGAUGUUGGAGACUUCCAGGAACCUCACUACUAUAGGAUACAGUUUGGAAGACUAUAAUAUCAAAGAACAUCAUCACAGUUCUAGGAGAUAUGAAAGCAGAUCAAAACUUCCUCAUGGAGUGGAGCAGAGAAACAAUGGGCACCUCUGAUGAGAAACUGCCUUUUUGAAGCAGUGCAGAAGUAACAACUUUUUGCAUGGAACUGGAACAGACUGCUACAUUUCUACAGUGCUUUCCCUCUCAGUUGAGUGAGGCAGAGAAGUAACAAUUUGGGAUGGAUCUGAGGAGAAAUGGACAUCUGUGCUGGGAAACUCCAUAGUACAGCAGAGCAGAGCAGAAAAACAAUGAACACCUCUGCUGGGAAACUCCCAUAGGGGAGUGGAGCAGAGCCCGGCUGUAAUGGCUUUCUCUCAAAGAGGAGCAAGAUUCCUUCAUCCUGCUGUGAGAUCAUCCUCAGGUGGAACACAGCUUUGGGUAUAGUCUGACUUCCUGACAGUUGUGAUUCCUUUCUCCUCACUGCUGAUAAAGAUACCUUCACCCAUACCCAGCAGGAAGCAAUUUGAAGAAUACGACGCCCACAUUCCCAAAGAGACAUGUCGACUCCUGGCAGUACCAAUCUACUUCAGAGAAAAUAUGGUCAUUGAAGAAACUGCAUAUGGAGUUAACUUUCAUUGUGGUAAAAGUUAGCCACUGGACAACAAAGUAUCCUCGAAUCAAGAGGACAAAAUGGACAGACAGGACAUGAAACAAAGGACUACCGAUUCUUGCUGAAACAAGUGUGGUUAUGGCUUUAUCAAAAGGCAUCUUCUGAGGCCAGUAUAAUAUGGCACCAUCCCUGAAGUGGCCUUCACAAUCCAGAAAAGGUACAGUGCCCUUUUCUUCUAAGGCAGCUGAACAGUCAGUGGGCCAAUGGCUUCUGAUGUGCAAUGGAACAGCAGCUAAAACAGUUAUUCUUGAAGAGUAACUAAGCUCACGCCUCUCAAUAGUAGACUGGCAUUUAGUAGAGGGAUGUGGAGAAGAAUGGGAUGCUGAGAUAAAGCCACAUAUAUACACAGCCAAAAAGAAUGGACAGCUGAACUCAAAAACCAUCAACAAUUUCCAGAAUUUAAAAUCCUGAAUCAUGACAUGACACUAGUGGAAUUCAGGUGUUUCUGGUAUAUGGACUGCCCUCACCCAAUGUGAGGUUGAACUGUUGACCUUGUGUACAUCCUACUUCACAAAUGAGUCUGUCAGAUAUGCUAAGCCUAUAGGCUGAAGAUGAUACCCCAACACUGUGGAGAAACCUCAGGUGACUGUCCAGGCAACUGGCUGUUUCUGUCAACUCACAAAUUUUUUGGAAGUUGCUUGCAUGCACUUCCUGUUUUUAUUUUUGUUAGCUAAUAUUAUUUCCUUCUUGGUUCCUGAGGGAGUUGAAGAUUAGUUAGUUAUAGUUGAAGAUUAGUUAGUUAUAAUUGAAGACUAGUUAGGAUAGAAAGUGAAUUAGAUACAUUUUGGACUUACCAAAAUAGGAUAGAUAAUGGAAUUAUUUUCUCUGAAUUUGUGAAAUACAAAUGGACUAGACAUUUUUUAGGUAUUUAUUACUUGUAUAUAUUGUAUGUAGUUAUUGUACUUUUAUAUAUAGUUUUUCUUAUGUUAGUUAUAACCUUUUUCCUUUUUUCUUUUUAUUAAAAUAGAAAAGGGGAAAUAUGGUGGUAUUUUAUUUGUACUGAAAUGUGAUUUUAAUUGUAUGUUAAUAAAUAAAAUUGUCUGGGGAUCAGAGCUAUUAGAGCCAUAGCAAAAGCUGGGUGUUGGUGGUGCAAGCCUUUAAUCCCAGCACUUGGUAGGCAGAGCUAGGUAGAUCUCCGUGUGUUCAAGGAUACAGUCAACAGACAGUGACGAGGCAGUCAUGUGGUUGGGUUUACAACCAAUGAGAAGGCAGAACAGAAAGUCUAUAUAAAGACAAACAGACAGGAAGUAGGUCUCUUUCAGAGAGGUCUCUUGGCUGAAGAGACUAGCUGCAGCAUGCGGGUAAGGCUCUUAGCUCUGAUCUCUUGGUUUCUUCUUUGCAUUGGUUCUGUGUUUCUUAUUUAAUAAGACGGUUGGUUACAUCUACACCAUUCAUUCAAGAAUUAGGAAAAAUGCAAACAAAUCUAACAGGAACCCACUAGAAGGCAAGUAAUAACAAUCAAAGAUGAAAUAUAAAAUACAGAGAAAUUUUUUGAUGAAAUCCCUCAUCAUGACUGCCUUCAUGAUCAAAAUCAUACAGCCAAUAGGACUAGAGAGAACAUGUGUCUAUCAAACAAAAGCUAGAGUCUUAAAUCAUCAUUAAAAAUGAGAAUCUUAUAGCCAACACCAUCCUAAAUUGAGGAAAACUUGAAGCAAUUCAGAGGAGAUAGGUACCCAGUGAACUCCUGCUGUUCUCCACACCUAUCUAAGGGUAAAUUUUGUCUGAGUGUCUUAGAGGAUUUAGGAACACCUAAAACACUGUUCCCCCUUUUUUUCCCACUCAUCAGAGGACAUAUGGAUAUUUGAAAGGAUUUAUUUUUGUUUCAUGUAACUAGGCUGCUCCUCAGACAUACCUCUGAAAUACUGAAAUGGACUAGCCUGUUUCCAUUCCCUCCUGUCUUUCAUGUCUCUGUCUACUAACCACAUGUCAUGCCCCACUACCCACAUGGCAGCCAAUCAGCAGGUGACAGCCAUCCAUAACUCUAGUUUCAGCUGAUCCACCCCUUUCUUCUGGCUUCCAAAGGCACCAGGCAAUUACAUGGUUUGUAGACAGGCAGGCAGGCAAAACAUCCACACACAAACAAAUCCCUUCUCUACUCAAACAAGACAACACACACACACACACACACACACACACACACACACACACACACACACACACUUUCCUUUUUGUUUAACCUAUAAUGUCCAAUUUGUUUUGCCCAUAUAUUGAUGGAUGUGUGGCCUUUGACUUCAGGAUGGUCAACAUGCUAGGUGCAUCAUUAAUCAUUCCCUUCUAGACUGUGAUUGCAAAACACAAUAGUCUAGCUUUAGUUUGAUAUUUAAUAUGUACAAUGUUAUACCUUUUUUCAGAUUGUAAGAAUAAUGAUGGUAUUUUACUUCACAUAAUUAUAUAUGGGUCUAGGUCAUUCUGGGUACACCAAGGUACUUCACAAUUGAUAGAAUUAUAUCUGAUAGACAGUUCAUAUUCCUUAUGAGAUAUCUAAGUAUAGUUGCUUUUCCAAUAAACAUGAUGGCAUAAUAAAGCCCUUGGGUUAGGAUUUGGAAUGAAUAGGUAUUUCUUCAUUCCUCCUCAGUGACAGUGACACACAGCACUUUGGUGGUUAAAUCCAAUGACACAGAUGUGAUGCUUGCCAAUGGUCUCAUGAACCUUUCUGAUUUAAAAUAAUAUGAAAAUUUAUUUAAAAAUUAUAUGUACCCCAAAGUAUGGUUUGUACAUACCUGAAAAGAGACUUAUUGUCAAGUAAUGCUGAUGAUUCAAAACAAAUGUUAAAUAUUUUCUUAUAUAAAAAAGCUGAAUAAGCAUGUUUGUAGCCACCUAAAAUUAGAUAUACUUACAGAAUGUUACACUCAGUUUUCUAAUUUUUCAUUUUUUUCAAAAAAUCUCAAAUGUAUGAAGUUGGUACUACUUAUAGAAAAUAUAACACAAAUGGAAGGAUACCUGAGACUGAGAAGAAAUAAUUGAACUGCAUUAGAUAGUGUGAAUGUAUUUUGUCAUUUACUUUAAUUUAGUUAUAGUGUUUAUGUAUGUGUAAAGUAGAGAUUGCCCAAAUAAAAAAAUAAAUAAAUAGUUUUUACCAUAUUUUCAGAAUUAAUUGUAAAUGGCAGUCAUUACUAUCCUGGAAAUAAGAAUACACUUACAAGAAGUAAGUUAAAGACAUUGAAUUUAACAUUUUAGUUCAUUGGAAAUUUGCUAAUAAAGAACAAUUGUUACUAUGA